rnacentral:rRNA from 1 species
GACGAACGCUGGCGGCGUGCUUAACACAUGCAAGUCGAACGGAAAGGCCCUGCUUUUGUGGGGUGCUCGAGUGGCGAACGGGUGAGUAACACGUGAGUAACCUGCCCUUGACUUUGGGAUAACUUCAGGAAACUGGGGCUAAUACCGGAUAGGAGCUCCUGCUGCAUGGUGGGGGUUGGAAAGUUUCGGCGGUUGGGGAUGGACUCGCGGCUUAUCAGCUUGUUGGUGGGGUAGUGGCUUACCAAGGCUUUGACGGGUAGCCGGCCUGAGAGGGUGACCGGCCACAUGGGGACUGGGAUACGGCCCAGACUCCUACGGGAGGCAACAGUGGGGAAUAUUGCACAAUGGGCGGAAGCCUGAUGCAGCAACGCCGCGUGCGGGAUGACGGCCUUCGGGUUGUAAACCGCUUUCGCCUGUGACGAAGCGUGAGUGACGGUAAUGGGUAAAGAAGCACCGGCUAACUACGU